UGGGGAAUUGUUCGCAAUGGGCGCAAGCCUGACGACGCAACGCCGCGUGGAGGAUGAAGAUUUUCGGAUCGUAAACUCCUGUCGAAUGGGACGAAAAGAUUGCGGGUUAAUAGCCCGUAGUCCUGACGGUACCGUUAAAGGAAACCCCGGCUAACUCCGUGCCAGCAGCCGCGGUAAUACGGGGGGGGUAAGCGUUGUUCGGAAUUACUGGGCGUAAAGGGCUCGUAGGCGGCCAACUAAGUCAUACGUGAAAUCCCUCAGCUUAACUGGGGAACUGCGUGUGAUACUGGAUGGCUUGGAUUUGGGAGAGGGAUGCGGAAUUCCAGGUGUAGCGGUGAAAUGCGUAGAUAUCUGGAGGAACACCGGUGGCGAAGGCGGCAUCCUGGACCAAUAUUGACGCUGAGGAGCGAAAGCCAGGGGAGCAAACGGG
rnacentral:rRNA from 1 species